AAUCAUUGUCUGUCAUUGGUUACCCAUCCUAUCGUGUUACCAUAACAACACAGAUAUGACCGUCUUGCGUCCUUCUGCCGAACCUGGUUGUUGUCACACUGCCCUCUGCUGGUAGCACUGCAAAACAUCACUCAAUCAAAUCCUGAUAUAAAAUAAUACAAAAUGCACUUUUACCAGAUAGAAUAUGAAUUUAUGGGCUGAAUUCUGGCAUUAAGUGUAUGCAAACGUUACAUGACAUAAAUGUGAAUAUAUAAUAUAAACGUAUACAUGUUGAACCAGCCCACUGUGUUGAAAUAGGAAGUACAUUUAUAAGGAAGUGAAGGAAGAAAUGGACAAUAUCGGUAGAAGAAAAAUGUUUCUAAGGUGCUGUGUUGGGGGCAGGAGGUCCGGCUGAGAGCAGUCUGACUGGUUCUGCAGAGCAGCAGCUGCGUUCUGUACGGACAGAGUUUGUGAAACGAGUAUCAGGACCUGUCCUGAAUGAACUGCUGGACAGACUCCUGCAACACACAGUCAUCAACCAGGAGGAAAUGGAGUCAGUGGAGGUGAUCGCUGAGAGGACAGAGAAGGCACGUGACAUCAUCGACAUGGUGUUGAGAAAAGGAAAUUAGUCAAGUUCCAGGAUGAUCAACCUUCUUGGGGACCUGGACCCCAUGUCUUUGUUCACAGCUUCAGAUCAACAGUUGUAGUCAACCCCUGGAGGUGUGGAGACCAGGCAGAAUAGACAGGCAGGAUGGUUCAACAUGUUCUUGCUGUCUGCUGCUUUAAUUCAGGGUCACAACAAUGUACAGAAAAUGUCAAUCAAACAUUACCACUAUAAUAACAAUAAACUUACUGAAGGACCAACCA